GCUCGUAUGGCCUAAUGGUAAUGGCGCCAGUAGAAAUUCAAGUUGAACCAUGAGAAAGUACGACUGGAAAUCCCCGUUCGAUUCGGGGUACGAGCA